rnacentral:lncRNA from 1 species
GACGGCAACCCUAAUGGACUUCUGUCCUCUUUAGUCUUGCAACAACUGCAACCCCUGGGCAAGAGUUUCUGGGCAUUUUGGGUACUGUCUUUCUUCUAACCUUUUUUUUUUUUUUAAUUUCACAGGCAGCAGGGAUGCAAGAUUAUGUGAAAAGACCAUCCCUAAGCAGCAGUUUGAGUCAAGCGCUGUGGCUGGAGGGGAUUACCCCAAGAGGUCGCGUCCAGAGUGCCCCUGGUCUGCAAGGGGGGUUGGACAUUCAGAAGUCUGAAGACUCUCCUCUCAUCCUUCAGAAAUCUCUUCUGGAGUUGAAAAUCUUUUCUGGGUUGCACGUUGCAGAGAAAGUGGUAGCUGACAGUUUUGAACUUUUUUUCCUCCAAAAAUCAGGAGCC